AAUAGAUACCCCGGUAGUCCACGCCGUAAACGAUGAGUGCUAAGUGUUAGGGGGUUUCCGCCCCUUAGUGCUGCAGCUAACGCAUUAAGCACUCCGCCUGGGGAGUACGGUCGCAAGACUGAAACUCAAAGGAAUUGACGGGGGCCCGCACAAGCGGUGGAGCAUGUGGUUUAAUUCGAAGCAACGCGAAGAACCUUACCAGGUCUUGACAUCCCAUUGACCACUAUGGAGACAUAGUUUUCCCUUCGGGGACAACGGUGACAGGUGGUGCAUGGUUGUCGUCAGCUCGUGUCGUGAGAUGUUGGGUUAAGUCCCGCAACGAGCGCAACCCUUGUUCUUAGUUGCCAUCAUUUAGUUGGGCACUCUAAGGAGACUGCCGGUGACAAACCGGAGGAAGGUGGGGAUGACGUCAAAUCAUCAUGCCCCUUAUGACCUGGGCUACACACGUGCUACAAUGGACGGUACAAACGGUUGCCAACCCGCGAGGGGGAGCUAAUCCGAUAAAACCGUUCUCAGUUCGGAUUGUAGGCUGCAACUCGCCUACAUGAAGCCG
rnacentral:rRNA from 1 species